rfam:Schistosoma rodhaini strain Burundi genome assembly, scaffold: SROB_scaffold0018363
ACUCAGCCGACGAGUCUCGAAAUAGGACGAAACGCGUGUCCUGGAU